GCACUCAUAGCUCAAUUGGAUAGAGUUCCUGGCUUCGAACCAGUAGGUUAGAGGUUCGAAUCCUCUUGGGUGCA
rnacentral:tRNA from 1 species